GGCGACAUAGCCAAGUGGUAAGGCAUGGGUCUGCAACACCCUGAUCGACAGUUCAAAUCUGUCUGUCGCCU
rnacentral:tRNA from 2 species